AUGGCGAAACGGCUGCGAUCACCGGAUCGCGGCGACGGCGGGAAGCGGCCGCGGCACGGCCGGAAGCAUCUCUACAUCGUGCUGGACGACUGCGAGAAGGGGUACAGCGUCCACAAGGUCAACGUCGACGCCGACGGUGUGGGUCUCGCCGACCCUCCGCUGCUGCAACUCGAAUCCAUGGACGAAUCCGGGGGCGUGCUGGUCGGCGCCCUCGGCAGCAAGAUCCUGGCCCUGUGGCAGCCAACGGCGGACAGGCACUCGACGACCCACGCCGUCGCGUACGGCACGGACACCGACAAGCUGGCCGUCGGCCCCCCGCACCUUUGA
rnacentral:rRNA from 1 species